rnacentral:rRNA from 1 species
AACGAAGUGAAUUGAAAUAUCUUAGUAACUUUAGGAAAAGAAAUCAAACGAGAUUAAUAUUUAGUGUAAACUAAAUAUUAAAAGCCUAAUAACAAAACUUGUUAAGUAAAAUGGAUUCAAAUCUGUUUGAAUAAAGGGGAACCUUCCUCUAAGGCUAAAUAUAAUAUAUAAGCGAUAGUGAAAAGUACCGUGAGGUAAAAUUUGAAAUAGUAGUUUUAUAAGCAGCUCAAAUAAAAUUUAAAUAAAAAAUAAGAGCGUACCUUUUGCAUAAUGGGUCAGCAAGUUAAUUUUAGAUGCAAGUAAAGAUAACCAAUUUAAAUUAUAAAAAGUUAUGAUUAAAAAGGUUAUUUUAACUUAGAUAAACCAAUUAUGAAAAAAUGAGUUAGUAUCUAAAAUUAGACCCGAAGGCUAGUGAUCUUACCAUGGUCAGGGUUAUAAAAGCCCGAACGGGUUAUCGUUGUAUAGAUAUCCGAAGAAUUGUGGUAAGUUAGUGAAAGACAAAACUGACUAGUAUAGCUGGUUUUCCGCGAAACCUAUAUGAGUAGGUAAUUUAAUUAACAUCUUAGCAGGUACAGAACUGUGAUCUCGGAUAAUAUCAAUUGAUUUUAUCAACAUCGGGGGGUUGUAGUGACUUUACUGGAGAGUAUUUGCACUCGGAAUGGCAAAGAUGAAUGUUGAAUAAUCGGACAUAGUGCGAUAAGGUUGUAUGUCAAAAGGGAAACAGCCCAGAACAAGAGUUAAGGUUCCAAAAUUAUUGUUGAGUGAAAUUAAGGAUGUUUAUUAUUAAUACAAUCAGGAAAUAGGCUUAGAAGGGGCCAUUUUUUGAAGACCUCGUAACAGAGCACUGAUUAAAUUUUAGUAAUAAACACCAAAAAUUUAACGGAUCUAAACAAUAUACCGAAACCUUGUACACAUAUUAUAAUAAUUAUAUAUAUUAAUUAAUAUAUAUUGUAUAUGUGGGGUAGCGGAACAUUGGAUAAAUAUUAUUUAUUAUUACUUCUAAGAUAUAAUAAGUAUAAAUAUUAUUUUAAUAAUAAUAAUUUAUCAAUAUAAUCCAAGAGAGAAUGCUGACAUGAGUAACGAAAAAGGAAUAACCUCGCCUUAAGCUUAUAUGGUAUUGUAUUAAAUUUUCGGUGUCUAAAAAUAUUAAUCAAAAGGUAAUUUUGAUGAUAUUUAUAUAUGUACUAAAUAUUAAUUAGAGUAUAUAAUACUCUUAGUUAAUAAAAGUAAAAAAUAAAACCUUUAAAAAGUAAUAAAGGUUCUGGAAAAUUUUUUACUAUAUUAUAUAUAUAUUUUAUUUAGAGCCUUAGGGACUAGUUAUAUAAUUUCUUGUUAAAGUUUUCAAGAUUGUAUAAAGUAUAAUUUUAAUAUAAAAUUAUACAAUAAUAUAUAUAUAUAAUAAGUUAUAUAUAUACCGUACCUAGAUACUAUCACAAGUAAGCAAGUAGAGAAUACAAAGGCGUUUGAGUGAACAAUCAUUAAGGAACUCGGCAAAUUGACUACCGUAACUUCGGGAUAAGGAGGGCCAUUAUUAUAAUAUUUAACGUAUAUAUGUCUGUAAAAAGAUAUAUAUAUGAUAUAAUUAAAUAUAUAAUAAGAGGAAACAUAAAAUAAUGUUGUACGACUGUUUAAUAAAAACACAGCACUCUGCAAAGAUUAAAUAUCAAAGUAUUGAGUGUGAUGUCUGCCCAAUGUCGGCAGGGUAACGAAUCUUCCUUGGUAUAUAACUAAGGUUUUGAAGGACACCCCGAUAAAUGGCGGCCUUAUCUAUGAGGGUCCUAAGGUAGCGAAAUACCUUGGCCGUUAAAUGCGGUCCUGCAUGAAUGACAUAACGAUACAACAGCUGUCUCGAUGAUUGUCUCAGUGAAAUUGGAAUAGCAGUGCAGAUACUGUUUACCUCUAGAUAAACGAGAAGACCCUAUGCAGCUUUACUGUUACCAGUUGCAAAAGUUAAAUUUUAGGAUGUUUUCGAGAGUAUAAGGUAGUUGAAAGAUAACAAUGAAACACCUUUAUUCGUUUCCUUAUAUAUGCUUUUGAAGAUUGGAAGGCAGUUUAUGCGGGGCACAGAUCCCACAAAAAGUACAUGGGUAUAUCCAAAGUUCAUAUUGUAAAUUUGUAAUUUUAUUACAAAUAUUUUAAUUUGUUAUAUUUAUUUUUAUAAAUAUACAGUUAUUGUUAAAUUAAGUUCAAUAUUUAUUUUUAUCUAAGUAAGAUUUUAACUAUAUGGUUAAUAGAUGUAUUUAAAACUUUAAUAUUUAAAAGUUUUUUGUCAUAUUAAUUUUGUAUAUUAUCUUAAUUAAUAUGAUGAUUAAUUAUACUUUAAAAGUUUAAUGGCUAAAUCUUGCUUUAUCGUUUGACCUACAAGUUCAUCAGUUGCGUAAGCGGGGCAUAUGAUCACAAGAUGCAUUAAGGAAAGGUCUUGGAUUAUAGAAAAAGUUACGCUAGGGAUAACAGGCUAAUUUGCGCAAGAGAGUACAAAUUGAGUGCGCGGUUUGGCACCUCGAUGUCGGCUUAGCUCAUCCACAUGAAUGCAAAAAUCAUGAAGGGUUCGACUGUUCGUCGAUUAAAGAGCUACAUGAGCUGGGUUUAAUACGUCGUGAGACAGUAUGGUUUCUAUCUUCUAGAGGGAAUUAAAGUAGAAUAAAGAUAGCCCCUUCGUACGAAAGGAGUUGGGUAUAUUGACCUAUGGUUUACCUAUUGUUUAUGUUAUAUAUAUAUUUUAUAUAUAUAUCAUUUACUUAUACUUAAGUAAAUUGUUCGCAUAGGCAUGGUAGGAAGGCUACGUCAGUUAAAGAUAAGUGCUGAAAGCAUUUAAGCGCGAAGCUUACUUUAGGAUACUUUAAAACGUAGUAGAACACUACGAG